GAUGGACAACAGGUUGAUAUUCCUGUACUACCGAUAACCGUUAGAGAGAAGGGAUGACACAGUAGGAUAAGCUAAGCACACUGUUGGUUAUGUGUGCCCAAGCAUUGAGGCAGUCAAAGUAGGUAAAUCCGCUUUGAUAAUGCUGGGAUGUGAUGGGGAGCGAAAUUUAGUAGCGAAGUAGCUGAUUUCACACUGUCAAGAAAAGUCUCUAUCGAGGUUAAAGGUACCCGUACCGCAAACCGACACAGGGGGGUGAGGAGAGUAUCCUAAGGCCAGCGAGAGAACUGUUGUUAAGGAACUCGGCAAAAUGACCCCGUAACUUAGGGAUAAGGGGUGCCACCAUCAGGUGGCCGCAGAGAAUAGGCCCAAGCGACUGUUUACCAAAAACAUAGGUUUCUGCUAAGUCGCAAGACGAUGUAUAGGAGCUGACGCCUGCCCGGUGCUGG
rnacentral:rRNA from 1 species